rnacentral:lncRNA from 1 species
AGACAAGCAAGAAAAGUACAUCCUUUUGAAUACUGAUUCUGACUUGGAAGAAUGUGAGAAAAGUAAAACAUUACUGGUGCACCAUCCUCAAGAGGGGAAACCACACUCAAGAAGUCAAAGUGCUAAGAAGUUUUCACCCUGCUGUCAGACCCAGUGGUCCUGUCAAGCUUUUUUUCUCCUACUGAUAUUAACUUCCCAGAUAUUUCUGAGUCUCUUUGUCCUGAAACUGCACCAAAAGUUGGAAACAUUUAAGCGAGGAGAAGCUGCAAUUCAAAAGAAUGGAUCUUUUGGCAUUACCAGGGAGCAGAAGAAUGUGGAAACAAAUCAUAGCAAAAAGGAUGAGAUGGAUUCUAAAUUGAAGACCUUAAACCAGCAGGAAAUUAAUUAUGUUCUUGAGUUUGUUUACAAACUAAAUAUGUCCUCAACUCUGGAGCUCCACAAAACCAAGGAAAGAAUCAUUCAACUGCAAAACCAUUUGCUCAACUUAACAGACCAAUUUCUUUCUAUGGAGACUGUUAUUGAUUCUCUGGUCCACUCUAGCGAUCUUCAGGUACGUAUUUUCAUGCAUUGCCCUAUUGUUUGUGACGUGAUUUUUAAUGAUUUCCUAUUACA